rnacentral:ncRNA from 1 species
GUAGAGUAAGGAUAGUGCGUUAAGUGCUUUAGGAUGGGAUGUUGCCUAAGGACGAAAGAGUUGCCGGCUUAGAGGACUAAAUCUAGGUUUAGGGAAAUUCUGCGUUGCUAUACCUGCGUCCGCUGC